GAUGAAGAACGCAGCGAAAUGCGAUAAGUAAUGUGAAUUGCAGAAUUCAGUGAAUCAUCGAGUCUUUGAACGCACAUUGCGCCCCCUGGUAUUCCGGGGGGCAUGCCUGUCCGAGCGUCAUUGCUGCCCUCAAACACGGCUUGUGUGUUGGGCCCCCGCCCCCCGGCUUCGGGGGGCGGGCCCGAAAGGCAGCGGCGGCACCGCGUCCGGUCCUCGAGCGUAUGGGGCUUCGUCACCCGCUCUGUAGGCCCGGCCGGCGCCCGCCGGCGACCCCAAUCAAUCUUUCCAGGUUGACCUCGGAUCAGGUAGGGAUACCCGCUGAACUUAAGCAUAUCAAUAAGCGGAGGA
rnacentral:misc_RNA from 1 species